rnacentral:misc_RNA from 1 species
UACAACAGAGAGUGAGUUUUUACGCGUGCCUCACCCUCACUGCAAAGAUCGUUUUGCACGUGCUACGCAGUGCGGUGCCCACACGAUUGUCUUACACGUUCGAGCACUCCGUAGCUCCCAACUCGUUCUUGUGCUCCCUCCCUCCCCCCUCUCUCGAUCUCUCUCUCUCUGGAAGCCUGAAGCAGGGCACGCCCGUACGCGUCUUUCUGCUGGCCUUCCCUCUCCCCUCCCUCCCUCUUCUGCCACAGAUCUUCCGUUUGUGUUGUUGUUUACUAGCGUGGCCGGGGUUUGUGACGCGGCCAUCAUGGAGCUCGACCACGAUGAGCAGCACCCAGACCGAAAAGCGGUGCCGCAGGUCCAGUGCUGUGUGUGCGGCCUGGUGAUCGACAGCAACCUCAGCAACAUGUGCCCCAACUGCCUCCGUGCCCAUGUUGACAUCACCGAUGACCUGCAGAAGGAGUACAUCCUCAUCCACUGUCCGGAGUGCGGCCGAUACCUGCAGCCGCCCAAGUACUGGGCUCGCGCCGAGCUGGAGAGCCGCGAGCUGCUUACCAUCUGUCUGAAGCGCAUCAAGGGGCUAAACAGCAGUGCCGGGAGCAACAGCAACGCCAACAAGGCGAAGCUUGUCGAUGCCAAGUUUCUCUGGACUGAGCCGCACAGUAAGCGCAUCAAGCUGCGCCUCACCGUGCAGAAAGAGGUCUUCAACAACAUUGUUAUUCAGCAAGCCUGCGUCGUUGAGUACGUUGUGACGUGGCAGCAGUGCACUACGUGCCAGAGGGUCGCCACCGGCCAGCCGCAGUGGGACGCGUGCGUGCAGCUCCGUCAGAAGGUGAACCACAAGAAGACGUUUCUCUACCUGGAGCAGCUCAUCUUGAAGAAGCGGCUGCACGAGAACUUCAUCCGUAUUGAGGGGCAGCCUGACGGCCUCGACUUCUUCUUUGCCCACAAGAGCCACGCCAUGAACUUCCUGGAGUUCUUGAACAAGACGGCGCCUGUGACGCGCCGCGAUGCCGUGCAGCUUGUCUCCCACGACUCCAAGAAUAACACGGCCGUGCAGCACUUCACCUUCGCGCUCGAUAUUGCACCACUCUGCCGCGAGGACCUUAUUCUUAUUCCGUACAAGGACUACUACCUCAAGUCUCUGGGUGGGAUGGGGCCGCUGGUUCUGGUGCACAAGGUGUUCAGCUCCAUCGUCUUCAUGGAUCCGCGAACGCUGCGUGCUGGCGAAAUCACCGGUGCCCUGUACUGGAAGAAGCCCUUCGCGUCACUGCAGACGUCGCGCGAGCUGGUUGAAUUCUACGUGCUCGAGUGCCAGCUGAUGCCCGUCACCAACGGCACCUACCAGCUUGGCCUAGUCACCGUGUGCCUGUCGGACGAGGUCGGCGAGGGCCGUGAGUGGAUCGUGCAGUCCCACCUUGGUGGCGUGCUCCACCCGGGCGACCUCGUGAAAGGGUACCUGCUGGAGGGGCGCAUCCUCAACAACGAGGACCUGGACGAGAAUCGCUACAAGCCGGAGCAGCUGCAGGAUGUCAUUCUCGUGCGCAAAUUCUUCCCGUCGCAGAAAGCGCGCCGCAACCGUCGCCUGUGGAAGCUAAAGAAGCUCGACAUUGUGACUUCGCAGGGCGAGGCGACGUCCAUCAGCGGACCUGCCCGCCGCGGUGGUGCCAGCGCGAACAGUGGUGUGAACGAAGACGAAUGCGAGUUUGAGGACGAAAUUGAGCGUGACGCAGAACUGCGCAAGGAAAUUGCAAUCUAUCGUAUGAUGGACGAGGAGAUCGCCGCGCGGCGUGGCACAGCAGCGACAGCUGCGGAUGCGGCAGAGAACGAGUACGAGGAUGACGACGAGAUUCCUGAGAUCGCACUGGAGGAGAUGCUGGACGAGCUGCAGAUUGACGAUGGCGCUGAGCCUGCAGGUGCCGAAGAAAGCCUAAUGGCUAACGAGGACAGCGACAACGAGGAGGUGGCGGACAUCCGCAAGAAGGUGCGCAUUGAGUGAGUUCACUUUUCUGCUGUGCGCUCGUGUGGACUGUUGUGGUGUCGGCGGUACUGCCUCCUCGAUUCCUCUGCGUCUUUGCCUUUUCCAUCCCAACAAGCCAAAGGCACCCCCCCCCACACACACACACGUGAAGGCGAGACGGGGGCGGAGGAGGGACAGUGCAGUGCUUACCUCGUGCAUGUACUUGAUGCCCCAACGUUCUUUGGCUUGGUCAUGGCAGACUCCCUGAGUUUGUGCUGCCGAGUUGAUAAGCUCACACGUUUGUCUUUGGUUUCUGCUUGAGCCAGUAGAGAGCAGCAGGUUGCGAGGGAGGCGGGGAGGGGGGGCGGGUGAGAGCGCGUUGGCGAGGGAGGUGAGGCCGGAGCUGGAGUUUGUGUGUGUGUGUGUGUGGAUGCGGAGAUGGUCGCUCCGGAGCACCGUCUUUUCCAUUCUUGUUUCUCUCUCAGCCCUGCUGCUGCCUCGCGGGGCGUUCGUCCACGUGUACAUAUAAUAUAUAUAUAUAUGUAUACAUGUGUGCGUGUGUGCUUGUAUAUGGGUGCGUGAAGAAACCGUGCCCCACCGCCCCACUCACCCCUCUUUCUCUCUUUGCAUCGCCGACUCGAUUAACGCCAAUUUAAAGAAGGUAACCGUGAACAACACGCAGGCAACAAACAAUAAUCCGAAGGACCGCAUUCAUGCACGUGCACCAACGUGGGUAGAGGGGGGUAUUGGUGGUGGCGGGUGGAGUGGCGGGUGUAUUGAAGCUUUCGUGCACUCCGGUGCUGGAGCUGGGGGAGGGGCACCUCUGAGCGUGUAUGUAUGCGUGUGCGUGUGCUUCUGUGUGAUUGCUCAUCCAACCCUCCAGCGAAGACGCGUAUUUCGGUGAUGCAGGGUGCUGCUCCGUCAGCAGCGAGAUGAUACAGGGAGGGAGAGGCUCCCUGAUGGCGCUCAUGUGCGUGUGUGUGGCGUGUCGUGUCCUAUGCUGUACCUUCUUUC